GCCUGCCUUUCGUGAGUGCUCUCAGUGCCUCUCUGAGCCUUCACCCUCUUGUUUCUUGUUCUUUCUUGCUCUUCCCGCUUAGCUGUUUCUCUUUUUGUGCCUCUCCUCGUCUUCUUCACCAGCUGGGAUAAGCGUGUCUUCGUCUUGUCUUCCUCCCCUCAUCCCAACCAGCCACAGCAGAUGGUCGUCCCUGCCUAAAUCUAGUUCUGCCGGAGGUUUCUUGCUGUUAAAAGGGAGUUUUUCCCUUCCCAUUCUCUCCAAAGUGAUUGCUUUAAGGGGGUCAUACAAUUGUUGGGGUUUUCUGUUUUCUUUGUCUCUAAGGGAAUGGGGUUUUGGGGGGCUAACAGGAGGAGAGAAACUGCAGAGAGCAUGCAAGACUACAACUCUGCUUGGUCCCAACUCUACAUAGUUAUGCAUCACACAAACAGCAGGUGCUGCUCUCUCAAACCCAUUAUUUUCAGUGGCUUUCACAAUACAACAAAGAAUCUCUGGACCUUGUGGUAACUUAAAAUGGGCCUUGGGGUGUUGAUGAAGCAGCUAAGUAUGAGCCGCACUUUAUAUAGCGAUAUAGCAUUGUCCACAUAACUGUUUGCAUUUGUUAAAACAGGCCCAAGAAAAAUUCUGGUGCCAAAAAAGUCCACCAGAGGAUUAAAUGACUACAGGCCUGUCCUGCUAACGUCUGUGGCCGUGAAGUCCAUUGAAAGACUUGUGUUAAGCCACCAGAAGGACAUUGGACUGGAAGUUCACCUAGCUUACUGUGCCCACCUCCACCUGUCAGUGGAUCACCAGACCAUUAGCACCAGCCUCAUCCAGGGAUGUGUUCUCUCCCCGCUGCUCUUCUCUCUCUAGACAAAUGAGUGCACCUCAGGAGAACCAUGUGUGAAACUCCUAUAGUUCGUCAAGGACACCACUGCCAUUGGUCUGAUCCAGAAAUAUGAUGUGUCCGCAUACAGACAGGAAGUGGAUCCACGCAAUCUGAAGUGGUCCUCACAUAUAGACUCUGUCUGGAAGACGGCCCAGCAGAAGUUGUACUUCCUGCAGCAACUCAGGAAGUUCAACUUGCCACUGAAGCUGCUGGUCAUCUUCUACACUAUCAUCAUUCAAUCUGUCCUAUGCAUGUCAAUCACUGUCUGGUUCAGCUCAGCCACAAAGCAGGACAGGGCUAAACUGGAAAGGACAAUCAUGUCUGCAGAGAGGAUCAUCGGUACUGAUGUUACCUCCAUUCAGGACCUGUACAGGUCCAGGGCUAGGAAAUGGGCAGAAAACAGUGCUACAGGAUGUCAUUUACUAAAACCUAAAACGUUUGCUUUGACUACAGUUUAAGUUAAAAAAACAAACAAACAAACAAACAAACAAACAAAAAAACAAAAACAAAAGAAACAUCUGCAAACAUACAAAUAGCAGCUGUUGGAUUGGACUGAACUGAUGGAUUGUCUCAUUGUCACCAAUAUACGAUCCAGUUUUUUAAUCAGUAUCAGAUCAAUAUUUGGUUCAAAUACUUGACUGGCACAUGGCUAAUAUGGUUAAGUGUGGGGUAACUAGCUUGAUGAAAUGAAAUUUUAAUGGCCGUUUUUUGUUUUGUUUUCUGUUUUUUUUAAUGGGUUUCAGAUAUGUUUAUCACAGUACUGCUCAUUUUCCUUUGGAAGGCCAGCACCUCUUUGAUGGUGACCAACAUUAGCAAGAAAAGCCCUGGCUCCAUGUGGGUUACAUUUUGUAGGUUUGCUACAGCAUGGUCAAUAAAACAAAAAUUUAUACCCAAAAAGACACAAAUAAAAGUCAGAUUUUCACAUUAGAGGCCCAAAAUUGAGGUGACUGAAAUACUCUUGUCAUUUUUUUUUUUAACCUUUGCAAAUCCUGUCUGACAACACUGUAGCCUGACUCACUAAACGGAGAGCAAUGAUUGAUUAAUGACAUACCGGUUUCAACAGUCAACCCUCUUCUGCAAAGGUAAACAGUCAACUGAGUAAGUCAAAUGUUGUUAAAAAAA